UACGGAGACCUCAAGCGUUAUCCGGAAUCAUUGGGCGUAAAGCGUACCGAUCGGUGGUUUGGUAAGUUUACUGUGAAAGACCGAAGCUCAACUUCGCGUUUGCAGUGAAUACUAUCAAACUUGAAGAGUAAAGAGGUGGCUGGAACUCUGCAAGUAGCGGUGAAAUGCGUUGAUAUGCAGGGGAACACCAAAAGCGAAGGCAGGCCACUGGGUACUUCUUGACACUGCUAGGACGAAAGCGUGGGUAGCGAAUGGG
rnacentral:rRNA from 1 species